rnacentral:sRNA from 1 species
AGUUCGCUUCGCUCGUGUGAAGUAAAAAUCCUUUUGUGCCGGGGUUCGGCACAAAAGAUUGAAACGGAAAGCGGGACUAUAU